UACGGGGUGUUUCCACUCUGCUGGGCUCCACCUUCAGACGGAGACUCCAAUCAGCUUCCACACCUGGUUCCAAUCAAGUCACCUGCAUAUAAGACCAGCGUUCACGACAGACCCCUGCCAGAUCUUCUGCUAACACAUGACCCAUCUGCCUGCCUCCCUGCUCAGCUCCCCACUCCAAGCCUAUUCUGGAUCUGCUUUGGACACUCCUCACCCGGAACCCCCUGGACACUCCCUCCUCGAUUGACACUUCAAAUCUGCAACGCGUAAGCCCAAACCACCAUAGCCUAAUCCUCCAGCUGUGAUUCAUUGAGACUACCACUGACUACUUUCCUCCUCUCAUCAUAGUGACUUCACACCUCCCUCCAAGCCGCUGCCCCCUUUCUCCAUUCCCCGGAUCCCUCUGUGGAAUCCAGCCCUCAGAGUUUCUCGUUCACAGUUUUGCCUCACAGUUUUCCGCUCAUAGCUUUCACAGUUCAUAGCAUGCAUAGGUUAUAGCAUUCUUAGUUUUCUGUUUUGUAACUUCGCUCAGCUCUGUAAAUAAACUCUGUGCUCACGCCC